rnacentral:ncRNA from 2 species
GAACCGCAGGGAGAUGGCAUCCUCCCCAAACCGCCCGAUCGGGCUGAUGACGCCUGCCCACGC